rnacentral:rRNA from 1 species
UACAGAGGUCCCGAGCGUUGUUCGGAUCAUUGGGCGUAAAGGGUGCGUAGGCGGCGGGCAAGUCUGAUGUGAAAUCCCGGGGCUCAACCCCGGAACUGCAUUGGAUACUGCCUUGCUAGAGUACUGGAGAGGGAACUGGAAUUACGGUGUAGCAGUGAAAUGCGUAGAGAUCGUAAGGAAGGCCAGUGGCGAAGGCGAGUUCCUGGACAGUUACUGACGCUGAGGCACGAAGGCCAGGGAGCAAACGGG